rnacentral:rRNA from 1 species
UGCAGUCGAACGAAGGCCCGGAGCUUGCUCCGGAUACCUUAGUGGCGGACGGGUGAGUAACACGUGGGAAUUUGCCCUUCAGUACGGAACAACUCUCGGAAACGGGAGCUAAUACCGAAUACGCCCUACGGGGGAAAGAUUUAUCGCUGAAGGAUGAGCCCGCGCCGGAUUAGCUAGUUGGUGAGGUAAUGGCUCACCAAGGCGACGAUCCGUAGCUGGUUUGAGAGGAUGAUCAGCCACACUGGGACUGAGACACGGCCCAGACUCCUACGGGAGGCAGCAGUGGGGAAUAUUGGACAAUGGGGGCAACCCUGAUCCAGCCAUGCCGCGUGAGUGAUGAAGGCCUUAGGGUUGUAAAGCUCUUUCAGUGGGGAAGAUGAUGACGGUACCCACAGAAGAAGCCCCGGCUAACUCCGUGCCAGCAGCCGCGGUAAUACGGAGGGGGCAAGCGUUAUUCGGAUUUACUGGGCGUAAAGCGCGCGUAGGCGGUCUGUUUAGUCAGGCGUGAAAGCCCUGGGCUCAACCCAGGAACUGCGUUUGAAACUGGCAGACUAGAGUUCGGGAGAGGAGAGUGGAAUUCCCAGUGUAGAGGUGAAAUUCGUAGAUAUUGGGAAGAACACCAGUGGCGAAGGCGGCUCUCUGGACCGAUACUGACGCUG